rnacentral:rRNA from 1 species
GAUGAACGCUGGCGGCGUGCUUAACACAUGCAAGUCGAACGGAAAGGCCCAAGCUUGCUUGGGUACUCGAGUGGCGAACGGGUGAGUAACACGUGGGUGAUCUGCCCCGCACUUCGGGAUAAGCCUGGGAAACUGGGUCUAAUACCGGAUAGGACAGUGGUUUGGAUGCCAUUGUGGAAAGUUUUUUCGGGGUGGGAUGAGCUCGCGGCCUAUCAGCUUGUUGGUGGGGUAAGGGCCUACCAAGGCGUCGACGGGUAGCCGGCCUGGGAGGGUGUACGGCCACAUUGGGACUGAGAUACGGCCCAGACUCCUACGGGAGGCAGCAGUGGGGAAUAUUGCACAAUGGGCGCAAGCCUGAUGCAGCGACGCCGCGUGGGGGAUGACGGCCUUCGGGUUGUAAACUCCUUUCGCUAGGGACGAAGCGUUAUGUGACGGUACCUAGAGAAGAAGCACCGGCUAACUACGUG